UGGAAUAAAUUUAUCAGGCCCACGGAGAAAGGUAAAUUUUGGGGCUGUACUUAUAAGUUCUUACUCUAACAAUUUUGGGCUUACAGUUCUUUCUUUUUUUAUUUGUUUGCAGAUGAAAGGCUUAAUCUGAACUGCCCAACCUGUGGACCCGACUUCAGAUAUGGUACAUCACAAUCAGAUUAGUUUGACAUCAUGAUUUCUUAUUAAUGGACACUCUUGGCUUGGAAAGCAAGGUUGCGUGCUAGGGGCCAUCGAACAAUCCCCACUUCAAUUGAUGAGCUUUUCCGUGUUG